GUAUUAGAAAGGAUAUGAAAAUAUCUUGUUCAUAAGUACUAACAUUUAGAUAACAUAAGAGAGUUCAACCCCAGUUUUUUCACUGUCACAUUCCAUAUGGCUCUUAAUAACUCAUUAUUACCUUUUUUGCUGCUCCUAGGCACUGGUGGUUUCAACCUGGUCUGCCACUGAGCAGAAAUGCAUUCCAACAGGAGAACAGUGAAAGGACAGGAUGUUGACAGACAGGAAGCCUGCUGAUAUUAGAGAUUAGGACCCAACUCAUGUCCAGAUUUUUUUAGCAAUAUAUGUGCUCUAAAAGUUCUACUAAAAUUUAUUUUCUCCUCUUGACGAGAACACUCAGAUUAGAGAAGAAGAAACCUGUAGCCCUUUCUAGAUCUGAGAGUAAGGUCUCCUGAGUAACAGAGUAACUUGUGCUUUGUGCACAAGGAUUUGUGUACAGAACUUGGAGGUACCAUAACAAAAUAGUCAUUUUCAAGCAGCUUGCCACAGAAAUGAGACAGAGCCUGGAGAGGAACCUUGCUGACACAGAAAAGGUUCUCCAGGGUGGCAGGUCAGCCUGUGGAUGAGGGAAGUAGACAGAGACAGAAGUUGUGUAAAGCUGGUCGUGGACUUAAUAAGGGCUUGAUUCCGUACCAACGAAAUCAACAGGAGUUUGGCUCAUGUUUGCAAUGGGAGGUGGAUCAACGCUUUAUGCCAGCUGUUCCCUGUUGGGUAGGGAUAAUCCCUUUGAAACAAAAUAUUUAACUUGUUCUCUCUCUGUUGAUGUAAGAAGGCUUCUCGUGAUAAUGCUUUCAUGAGAAUUAAAAGGUGUGUCCCAUU